rnacentral:rRNA from 1 species
UUAAAUUGAAGAGUUUGAUCAUGGCUCAGAUUGAACGCUGGCGGCAGGCCUAACACAUGCAAGUCGAACGGUAACAGGAAGCAGCUUGCUGCUUUGCUGACGAGUGGCGGACGGGUGAGUAAUGUCUGGGAAACUGCCUGAUGGAGGGGGAUAACUACUGGAAACGGUAGCUAAUACCGCAUAACGUCGCAAGACCAAAGAGGGGGACCUUCGGGCCUCUUGCCAUCGGAUGUGCCCAGAUGGGAUUAGCUAGUAGGUGGGGUAACGGCUCACCUAGGCGACGAUCCCUAGCUGGUCUGAGAGGAUGACCAGCCACACUGGAACUGAGACACGGUCCAGACUCCUACGGGAGGCAGCAGUGGGGAAUAUUGCACAAUGGGCGCAAGCCUGAUGCAGCCAUGCCGCGUGUAUGAAGAAGGCCUUCGGGUUGUAAAGUACUUUCAGCGGGGAGGAAGGGAGUAAAGUUAAUACCUUUGCUCAUUGACGUUACCCGCAGAAGAAGCACCGGCUAACUCCGUGCCAGCAGCCGCGGUAAUACGGAGGGUGCAAGCGUUAAUCGGAAUUACUGGGCGUAAAGCGCACGCAGGCGGUUUGUUAAGUCAGAUGUGAAAUCCCCGGGCUCAACCUGGGAACUGCAUCUGAUACUGGCAAGCUUGAGUCUCGUAGAGGGGGGUAGAAUUCCAGGUGUAGCGGUGAAAUGCGUAGAGAUCUGGAGGAAUACCGGUGGCGAAGGCGGCCCCCUGGACGAAGACUGACGCUCAGGUGCGAAAGCGUGGGGAGCAAACAGGAUUAGAUACCCUGGUAGUCCACGCCGUAAACGAUGUCGACUUGGAGGUUGUGCCAUUGAGGCGUGGCUUCCGGAGCUAACGCGUUAAGUCGACCGCCUGGGGAGUACGGCCGCAAGGUUAAAACUCAAAUGAAUUGACGGGGGCCCGCACAAGCGGUGGAGCAUGUGGUUUAAUUCGAUGCAACGCGAAGAACCUUACCUGGUCUUGACAUCCACGGAAGUUUUCAGAGAUGAGAAUGUGCCUUCGGGAACCGUGAGACAGGUGCUGCAUGGCUGUCGUCAGCUCGUGUUGUGAAAUGUUGGGUUAAGUCCCGCAACGAGCGCAACCCUUAUCCUUUGUUGCCAGCGGUCCGGCCGGGAACUCAAAGGAGACUGCCAGUGAUAAACUGGAGGAAGGUGGGGAUGACGUCAAGUCAUCAUGGCCCUUACGACCAGGGCUACACACGUGCUACAAUGGCGCAUACAAAGAGAAGCGACCUCGCGAGAGCAAGCGGACCUCAUAAAGUGCGUCGUAGUCCGGAUUGGAGUCUGCAACUCGACUCCAUGAAGUCGGAAUCGCUAGUAAUCGUGGAUCAGAAUGCCACGGUGAAUACGUUCCCGGGCCUUGUACACACCGCCCGUCACACCAUGGGAGUGGGUUGCAAAAGAAGUAGGUAGCUUAACCUUCGGGAGGGCGCUUACCACUUUGUGAUUCAUGACUGGGGUGAAGUCGUAACAAGGUAACCGUAGGGGAACCUGCGGUUGGAUCACCUCCUUACCUUAAAGAAGC